GAUACAGGGGCGAGGAUGUAGAUUUUCAGAUAUGGGACAUCAACCUGAGAGAAACAGAAGAACAACAGGAAAUAAGGAAACCAAGACGUGACAAAUUAACAAGACGACAGUAAAUCUCCACAGGGGCAGCGAUCUCGCAAAGGCUCAGUCUAACAGCUAAGAACCUGUCUGACUGGCUGCGGUUCUUCUUUCCUCGUGAUGACCAGCAGGCAGCGGUUUUAUUGCAGCUACUUCUGUGUUAAGAGGGUUUUUUUUUCCAUUAAAGAAUUUCUCAGCCAGUUUUGUGUCUGGCCUGGACAUUUCAUAAAGCUGAAUGUCCUUCCUCUUCGAUGUCAUCCAAAUAAGUUGGAUAGGUUAUCCUUGAUUGAUCCUAAACGAGGAGAUUGUAGUUAUAGUAGCUCAAGGGCAGAAUAGAUACAUGUAAAAAAAAUAGAAGAAAAGAAUAGAAUAACAGAGCUAGUUGUUUAUUUGUUUUUUUCUGUCAAGCAGUGAUCAGUUACCCCAGGAUCUUAUAUCAAGUGGUCACUUCAUGUGCACUCGAGUGUCCAUCUGAUGCUGGUUGUAAAAUGCAAUCCAUCUAAACUGGCUCUUGACACAUUUGAGAAGCUCUAAAUAUGUUCUCCAGCAUAAAAAGGAUGAUAUCUUUACUGAUACUGUAACAUCUUUUGAUUUUACGCCCAAACUUCUUCCGUGAACAACGAAAACGAAAGCAAUAGCCUCGUCGUUCCAAAAGCCUUGGAGGAAUGUGCAUAGUUAACUGUGUUCUAAAGAUAAACAUGAAUUAAAAGCCUGUCAACCAUAAUUGCAUCUCAUCGAGCCAUUAGCGCUGAAGCCAAGUGGUAAAGAAUAGUUUUUUAAAUGGCUCGGAAAGUCAUCUUCAUACAAUACUUGGGUGUGGUCGGCCAUCUUUUGUCCUGGAAAGAUCACAGUGAGUAUGUCAACAUAGUGUCUGAAGUCAUUUAAAGUGAGUGGACAAAUCCUUUUGUUUAGUUUUUUACUUUUUUCAUAAAGUACUGUAGUACUGCGUGGCACAAGUACUUUGAAGUCGAAACUGCUCCGCGAAAAAAAACAAAAAGCUGGACAAAGACUUUUUGGAAAACCCCUUGAAACACUAUGACUCAGGACUCCACAGUCACAUUUGUUGGCUGGUGAAUAAUCGUUAAACAAUGUUAGACUGAAGCACAUUUUGUUCACCAGUUGAUCCUAAAAGUACCUAGAAGGCCACUUUGGAGAAUGUGUUCCUCCGCCAAGGCUAAUGCUCUAUCAUGCCAUACUAAACAAAGUGAAGUAAAUGACUGGAGCCACUUCGGCUCUGGCUUUUGAGGAUGUUAUGUGAUGCUACAUGUAUGUAUCCUUAGUUUGUCUCAAGCUGUAAAUGGAGCUGCUUCUGUGAUACCAGACAAACUUUACAUGUGUCAGACAAUAAAGUAUUAUCAAUCACUUAA